GGUUAAGCGACUAAGCGUACACGGUGGAUGCCCUGGCAGUCAGAGGCGAUGAAGGGCGUGCUAAUCUGCGAUAAGCGCCGGUAAGGUGAUAUGAACCGUUAUAACCGGCGAUACCCGAAUGGGGAAACCCAGUGUGAUUCGUCACACUAUCAUUAACUGAAUCCAUAGGUUAAUGAGGCGAACCGGGGGAACUGAAACAUCUAAGUACCCCGAGGAAAAGAAAUCAACCGAGAUUCCCCCAGUAGCGGCGAGCGAACGGGGAGGAGCCCAGAGCCUGAAUCAGCAUGUGUGUUAGUGGAAGCGUCUGGAAAGGCGCGCGAUACAGGGUGACAGCCCCGUACACAAAAGCGCAUGUGCUGUGAGCUCGAUGAGUAGGGCGGGACACGUGGUAUCCUGUCUGAAUAUGGGGGGACCAUCCUCCAAGGCUAAAUACUCCUGACUGACCGAUAGUGAACCAGUACCGUGAGGGAAAGGCGAAAAGAACCCCGGCGAGGGGAGUGAAAAAGAACCUGAAACCGUGUACGUACAAGCAGUGGGAGCCCCACCACCAAAGCAUUCUCUGGUGUUGAAGGCCCUGCAAAGCAGCAUCGCGGUGGCGGAGCGUCGUUUGCGACGCCCAACACACAAAACAAGCGGUGAAUGCUUUGGGGUGGGGUGACUGCGUACCUUUUGUAUAAUGGGUCAGCGACUUAUAUUCUGUAGCAAGGUUAACCGAAUAGGGGAGCCGGAGGGAAACCGAGUCUUAAUUGGGCGUUAAGUUGCAGGGUAUAGACCCGAAACCCGGUGAUCUAGCCAUGGGCAGGUUGAAGGUUGGGUAACACUAACUGGAGGACCGAACCGACUAAUGUUGAAAAAUUAGCGGAUGACCUGUGGCUGGGGGUGAAAGGCCAAUCAAACCGGGAGAUAGCUGGUUCUCCCCGAAAGCUAUUUAGGUAGCGCCUCGUGAAUUCAUCUCCGGGGGUAGAGCACUGUUUCGGCUAGGGGGCCAUCCCGGCUUACCAACCCGAUGCAAACUGCGAAUACCGGAGAAUGUUAUCACGGGAGACACACGGCGGGUGCUAACGUCCGUCGUGAAGAGGGAAACAACCCAGACCGCCAGCUAAGGUCCCAAAGUCAUGGUUAAGUGGGAAACGAUGUGGGAAGGCCCAGACAGCCAGGAUGUUGGCUUAGAAGCAGCCAUCAUUUAAAGAAAGCGUAAUAGCUCACUGGUCGAGUCGGCCUGCGCGGAAGAUGUAACGGGGCUAAACCAUGCACCGAAGCUGCGGCAGCGAACGUAUCACCCAAGACAACUUUACGGAGUUGACGAUUGACGGAGCGAAGCGACGUCAAAGCGUUCAUUAAAGUCGAGUUGGCUUAGGGAUACGUUCGUUGGGUAGGGGAGCGUUCUGUAAGCCUGUGAAGGUGUGUCGUGAGGCAUGCUGGAGGUAUCAGAAGUGCGAAUGCUGACAUAAGUAACGAUAAAGCGGGUGAAAAGCCCGCUCGCCGGAAGACCAAGGGUUCCUGUCCAACGUUAAUCGGGGCAGGGUGAGUCGACCCCUAAGGCGAGGCCGAAAGGCGUAGUCGAUGGGAAACGGGUUAAUAUUCCCGUACUUGGUGUUACUGCGAAGGGGGGACGGAGAAGGCUAUGUUGGCCGGGCGACGGUUGUCCCGGUUUAAGCGUGUAGGUGUGUGUUCCAGGUAAAUCCGGUUCACUUUAACACUGAGGCGUGACGACGAGGCACUACGGUGCUGAAGCAACAAAUGCCCUGCUUCCAGGAAAAGCCUCUAAGCAUCAGGUAACAUCAAAUCGUACCCCAAACCGACACAGGUGGUCAGGUAGAGAAUACCAAGGCGCUUGAGAGAACUCGGGUGAAGGAACUAGGCAAAAUGGUGCCGUAACUUCGGGAGAAGGCACGCUGACACGUAGGUGAAGUGAUUUACUCAUGGAGCUGAAGUCAGUCGAAGAUACCAGCUGGCUGCAACUGUUUAUUAAAAACACAGCACUGUGCAAACACGAAAGUGGACGUAUACGGUGUGACGCCUGCCCGGUGCCGGAAGGUUAAUUGAUGGGGUCAGCGCAAGCGAAGCUCCUGAUCGAAGCCCCGGUAAACGGCGGCCGUAACUAUAACGGUCCUAAGGUAGCGAAAUUCCUUGUCGGGUAAGUUCCGACCUGCACGAAUGGCGUAAUGAUGGCCAGGCUGUCUCCACCCGAGACUCAGUGAAAUUGAACUCGCUGUGAAGAUGCAGUGUACCCGCGGCAAGACGGAAAGACCCCGUGAACCUUUACUAUAGCUUGACACUGAACAUUGAGCCUUGAUGUGUAGGAUAGGUGGGAGGCUUUGAAGUGUGGACGCCAGUCUGCAUGGAGCCGACCUUGAAAUACCACCCUUUAAUGUUUGAUGUUCUAACGUGGACCCGUAAUCCGGGUUGCGGACAGUGUCUGGUGGGUAGUUUGACUGGGGCGGUCUCCUCCUAAAGAGUAACGGAGGAGCACGAAGGUUGGCUAAUCCUGGUCGGACAUCAGGAGGUUAGUGCAAUGGCAUAAGCCAGCUUGACUGCGAGCGUGACGGCGCGAGCAGGUGCGAAAGCAGGUCAUAGUGAUCCGGUGGUUCUGAAUGGAAGGGCCAUCGCUCAACGGAUAAAAGGUACUCCGGGGAUAACAGGCUGAUACCGCCCAAGAGUUCAUAUCGACGGCGGUGUUUGGCACCUCGAUGUCGGCUCAUCACAUCCUGGGGCUGAAGUAGGUCCCAAGGGUAUGGCUGUUCGCCAUUUAAAGUGGUACGCGAGCUGGGUUUAGAACGUCGUGAGACAGUUCGGUCCCUAUCUGCCGUGGGCGCUGGAGAACUGAGGGGGGCUGCUCCUAGUACGAGAGGACCGGAGUGGACGCAUCACUGGUGUUCGGGUUGUCAUGCCAAUGGCACUGCCCGGUAGCUAAAUGCGGAAGAGAUAAGUGCUGAAAGCAUCUAAGCACGAAACUUGCCCCGAGAUGAGUUCUCCCUGAGACUUAGGUCUCCUGAAGGAACGUUGAAGACGACGACGUUGAUAGGCCGGGUGUGUAAGCGCAGCGAUGCGUUGAGCUAACCGGUACUAAUGAACCGUGAGGCUUAACCUU
rnacentral:rRNA from 1 species